rnacentral:rRNA from 1 species
UACGUAGGGGGCAAGCGUUGUCCGGAAUCAUUGGGCGUAAAGCGCGUGUAGGCGGUCCGAUAAGUCGGUUGUGAAAGUCAAGGGCUCAACCCUUGAAUGCCGACCGAUACUGUCGGGCUAGAGUCCGGAAGAGGCGAGUGGAAUUCCUGGUGUAGCGGUGGAAUGCGCAGAUAUCAGGAGGAACACCAACGGCGAAGGCAGCUCGCUGGGACGGUACUGACGCUGAGGCGCGAAAGCGUGGGGAGCGAACAGG